rnacentral:lncRNA from 1 species
CUCACAUUUGAUGAUGGACCACAGGUUCUCAAUGGGGUUCAGAUAAGGUGAACAAGGAGGCCAUGUCAUUAGAUUUUCUUCUUUUAUACCCUUUCUUGCCAGCCACGCUGUGGAGUACUUGGACGCGUGUGAUGGAGCAUGAAAAUCAUGUUUUUCUUGAAGGAUGCAGACUUCUUCCUGUACCACUGCUUGAAGAAGGUGUCUUCCAGGAACUGGCAGUAGGACUGGGAGUUGAGCUUGACUCCAUCCUCAACCCGAAAAUGC